UACGUAGGUGACCAGCGUUGUCCGGAUUUACUGGGCGUAAAGAGCGCGCAGGCGGUCGUUCAAGUCGAGUGUGAAAGCCCCCGGCUCAACUGGGGAGGGUCACUCGAUACUGAUCGACUUGAAGGCAGGAGAGGGAAGCGGAAUUCCCGGUGUAGUGGUGAAAUGCGUAGAUAUCGGGAGGAACACCAGUGGCGAAGGCGGCUUCCUGGCCUGUUCUUGACGCUGAGGCGCGAAAGCUAGGGGGGCAAACGGG
rnacentral:rRNA from 1 species